rnacentral:rRNA from 1 species
GUCUGGAGAGGACGAUCAGCCACACUGGAACUGAGAUACGGUCCAGACUCCUACGGGAGGCAGCAGUGGGGAAUAUUGGACAAUGGGCGAAAGCCUGAUCCAGCUAUGCCGCGUGAGUGAAGAAGGCCUUCGGGUUGUAAAACUCUUUCAAUAGGGAAGAUAAUGACGGUACCUAUAGAAGAAGUCCCGGCAAACUCUGUGCCAGCAGCCGCGGUAAUACGGAGGGGGCAAGCGUUGUUCGGAAUUAUUGGGCGUAAAGGGCACGUAGGUGGACUAGUAAGUUAAAAGUGAAAUACCAAAGCUUAACUUUGGAGCGGCUUUUAAUACUGCUAGACUAGAGGUCGAAAGAGGAUAGCGGAAUUCCUAGUGUAGAGGUGAAAUUCGUAGAUAUUAGGAGGAACACCAGUGGCGAAGGCGGCUAUCUGGUUCGAUACUGACACUGAGGUGCGAAAGCGUGGGGAGCAAACAGGAUUAGAUUCCCUGGUAGUCCACGCUGUAAACGAUGAGUGCUAAAUGUGAGGAUUUUAUCUUUGUAUUGUAGCUAACGCGUUAAGCACUCCGCCUGGGGACUACGGUCGCAAGACUAAAACUCAAAGGAAUUGACGGGGACCCGCACAAGCGGUGGAGCAUGUGGUUUAAUUCGAUGCUACGCGAAAAACCUUACCACUUUUUGACAUGAAGGUCGUAUCCCUCCUAACAGGGGGAGUCAGUUCGGCUGGACCUUACACAGGUGCUGCAUGGUUGUCGUCAGCUCGUGUCGUGAGAUGUUGGGUUAAGUCCCGCAACGAGCGCAACCCUCAUUCUUAGUUACCAACAGGUAAUGCUGGGCACUCAAAAAA